rnacentral:rRNA from 1 species
AGCAGCGGAGCAUGUGGCUUAAUUCGACGCAACGCGAAGAACCUUACCAAGGCUUGACAUAUGCCGGAAAACCGUGGAGACACGGUCCCCCUUGUGGUCGGUAUACAGGUGGUGCAUGGUUGUCGUCAGCUCGUGUCGUGAGAUGUUGGGUUAAGUCCCGCAACGAGCGCAACCCUUGUUCUGUGUUGCCAGCGAGUAAUGUCGGGGACUCACAGGAGACUGCCGGGGUCAACUCGGAGGAAGGUGGGGACGACGUCAAAUCAUCAUGCCCCUUAUGUCUUGGGCUGCACACGUGCUACAAUGGUCGGUACAAAGGGCUGCGAUGCCGUGAGGCGGAGCGAAUCCCAAAAAGCCGGC